rnacentral:tRNA from 1 species
GGCCCCAUCGACUAGCGGCCUAGGUCGUAGCCCUCUCAAGGCUAAAACACGGGUUCGAAUCCCGUUGGGGCCACCA